rnacentral:rRNA from 1 species
AUGCAGUCGAGCGGUAGCACAGAGAGCUUGCUCUCGGGUGACGAGCGGCGGACGGGUGAGUAAUGUCUGGGAAACUGCCUGAUGGAGGGGGAUAACUACUGGAAACGGUAGCUAAUACCGCAUAAUGUCGCAAGACCAAAGUGGGGGACCUUCGGGCCUCAUGCCAUCAGAUGUGCCCAGAUGGGAUUAGCUAGUAGGUGGGGUAACGGCUCACCUAGGCGACGAUCCCUAGCUGGUCUGAGAGGAUGACCAGCCACACUGGAACUGAGACACGGUCCAGACUCCUACGGGAGGCAGCAGUGGGGAAUAUUGCACAAUGGGCGCAAGCCUGAUGCAGCCAUGCCGCGUGUGUGAAGAAGGCCUUCGGGUUGUAAAGCACUUUCAGCGGGGAGGAAGGCGAUGAGGUUAAUAACCUUGUCGAUUGACGUUACCCGCAGAAGAAGCACCGGCUAACUCCGUGCCAGCAGCCGCGGUAAUACGGAGGGUGCAAGCGUUAAUCGGAAUUACUGGGCGUAAAGCGCACGCAGGCGGUCUGUCAAGUCGGAUGUGAAAUCCCCGGGCUCAACCUGGGAACUGCAUUCGAAACUGGCAGGCUAGAGUCUUGUAGAGGGGGGUAGAAUUCCAGGUGUAGCGGUGAAAUGCGUAGAGAUCUGGAGGAAUACCGGUGGCGAAGGCGGCCCCCUGGACAAAGACUGACGCUCAGGUGCGAAAGCGUGGGGAGCAAACAGGAUUAGAUACCCUGGUAGUCCACGCCGUAAACGAUGUCGAUUUGGAGGUUGUGCCCUUGAGGCGUGGCUUCCGGAGCUAACGCGUUAAAUCGACCGCCUGGGGAGUACGGCCGCAAGGUUAAAACUCAAAUGAAUUGACGGGGGCCCGCACAAGCGGUGGAGCAUGUGGUUUAAUUCGAUGCACGCGAAGAACCUUAC